CCAAAGCAAACAUUUAAUUUGUAAUUCAAUGAACUAUAUUUAUUUAUUUUACUAUUAUUUAAAAUAAAAAUAUGUACAUGUAUUACGAUUUUAAUUAAAAUAAAUACCAUUCCUCAUGGCUAUAUGGAACUAUGUGCGUGUAUAUUGUUUUACCUCGAUAAAAGUUAAUAAUUGAGAUAAGAAAGCCCGAGUCACCUUAAUGAAAUGUUCUUACAUAAUUAUGUCUUCAACUGCACAACGUAGAUGUAAUAAUGAACACAUAACACAACACGCCAGAGUCAGCUAUCACAUUAAUGGAAGGCUCGUUCAAUAAGGUGCGUGUGUGUUGAGUUAAAAGUGACAGAACAACCGAAGACCGAAUAAAUGAUUAAGAAAGUACACAAUCACAGUACGUUUUUUUGCCGAAGAAACAAAAAUUUCGACUGCUUGUAUGCAUAGCCUUUUACACGAAUGCUUUGGGAUGGAAACGUUAACGCGCGCUGGAUUUCCGAAAUGCUUACAGACGUACAAAAACAAAUGAGUCUGAACAUUUCUUGAACUUAUGUAAGAACAACAUCUAAACAUCUUGUAGCUCGAUUUAUAACCCUGGAUGAUGCCUGAUAGAUAGUCUUUGACCAGCGAACAGCAUUUUAACCUUUCUUUUCCGAGAUAGCAAAGACUAUGGAGCUCCAGACUGAACAUUUCUUGAACUUCUGUAAGAACAACAUCUAAACAUCUUGUAGCUCGAUUUAUAACCAUGGAUGAUACCUCAUAGAUAGUCAUUGACCAGAGAACAGCAUUUUUACCUUUCUUUUCUGAGAUAGUAAAGACUAUGGAGCUUCUGUUACUGGCUCUUUAUAGGAUUAAAAUAAAAUGAUUAAUGAAAUUCAUGAAAACCUGAAAAUGCCCCCGGUGAUUUUUACCUAUCUCCUAGGUUGAAGGAUUUGUAAGGAAUGAAGGAAGAUGAUGAAACCAUAGUAGCUGCAAAACAGGAAUUUUUCAAACAAGGAAUUUUAAGAGUUAAAGUUAAAAGGAAGUUAUAAAGAGAUAUUCCAAGUGUGUUAAACUUAAAAAAGCAAAUUAUGUUUGAUAAAAGUUUCCGACAAUAUUCAUUUUUUACAGGCGUUUAGAAAAAGAGAAUAUAUGGAAUUGUAAUGUUUUCCUCUAUUAAAUUCCGUUAUGCCAUACUUUAUAUUAGUAUGUAAAACGUUUUGAGUAAGGCUACAGCAGAUGUGUGAUACAAAUGAAUUAAAACUGAUAAAUUAAUUCAAGCGAUAA